UCCAGCAGGAAAAAAUCAGUCUUGCGGGAAGAUUUGCACUACAAUGCUCCACUCUGAAUGACUCUCCAGCUGUUUCCUCCUCAAACAUCAAAGGCAGCUAUGCUCCUCAGGAAGUGGGGAGCGUCGGUUAGGACAGCAAAGAGGUCCUACUGCAAACCCGCUCGCAUAAAUCGCCAGCACACGGUGACUAGGUGGAGGGAAACGAUUUCCUCCAAAGGAGUUCAGGAAGUUCUGGGGAUGUACAGCAUGGUGUAAACUAAUAAAGAAAGCAAACCAAAUGAACAUAAAGUUAAUGGCAUCUCACACAUUUUAAUUAGUAAUAACAGUCCCAACUGAAGUAUCACCUGCCCUGUGAAGUUCUCCAUGAUGACCUGCACCAGGCUGGGUUAACCAUCCCUCUUGUUAGGCCACCCGAAGUUCGCGGACUGUGGGUUGCUUUAGGGCAGCGUCUCUGUCUUACCUUGGCUGUGCUAGGACCAGCCCCAUGCCUGGCCCAUGGUCAGAUGGGAGGUCAGUGUGGCCAUGACACUUCACCUGGGUGCUCACUGGGGUUGAACUGGCUGAUCUGAAUUCCCAUAAGGAUAUCCCCUUCCUCUCUCAUUACUCCUUACACCCCCUCUGUCUAAAAUAGAGAGGAUCACAGAUGGAUAAGGGCACUCCAGUCAACGUGUGCCAACGGCUUUCCUCUCCUGCUGAAUCCUCCCAACACGCUCUCAAGGAAUAUGUUAAAUAUUGGAAUGAACAAUGAUAAAUACCACUGUUCUCUCAAAUUAAGCUGCGUUAUAUUCUGUCAAUCUUAUGUUCAGAGAAUCCUGAUGUCUCUGAAUCACCACGAUCUAACACUUGUGCCAGCACU